rnacentral:rRNA from 1 species
AGGAUGAACGCUGGCGGCGUGCUUAACACAUGCAAGUCGAACGAUGAAGCCGGAGCUUGCUCUGGUGGAUUAGUGGCGAACGGGUGAGUAACACGUGAGUAACCUGCCCUUGACUCUGGGAUAAGCGUUGGAAACGACGUCUAAUACCGGAUACGACGCGCGAAGGCAUCUUCUGCGCGUGGAAAGAAUUUCGGUCAAGGAUGGACUCGCGGCCUAUCAGCUAGUUGGUGAGGUAACGGCCCACCAAGGCGACGACGGGUAGCCGGCCUGAGAGGGUGACCGGCCACACUGGGACUGAGACACGGCCCAGACUCCUACGGGAGGCAGCAGUGGGGAAUAUUGCACAAUGGGCGCAAGCCUGAUGCAGCAACGCCGCGUGAGGGACGACGGCCUUCGGUGUAAACCGUCUUUUAGUAGGAAGAAGCGAAGUGACGGUACCUGCAGAAAAAGCACCGGCUAACGUACGUGCCAGCAGCCGC